rnacentral:rRNA from 1 species
AUGAGCAGGUCUCCGGCCCCGGAUGGCGGCGGCGGCAAUCGCUUGCCGCCAGUGAAACCGUCGGUGUCGCUGUCACCGUCGCCGACGGGCCCUCCGGAGAGCGACAUCAGCCACAUGCCGGACUCCCCCGCGCGCAGCCUCGGUCACCGCCGCGCGCACUCCGAGAUCAUCGGCCUCCCCGACGACCUCGACCUCGGUGUCCCGGGCUGCGCAGGGGACGGGCCGUCGCUGUCGGACGAGAACGAGGAGGAGUUCUUCUCCAUGUUCCUCGACGCCGAGAAGCUCAACGCGCAGCUGCGCGAGGCGUCGGAGACGGAGUCGUCGUGCGCCUCGGCGGGCGCCGGCGCGGGGCCGAGGCCGCGCCAUCACCACAGCCAUUCCAUGGACGCGUCGAGCUCUUUCGACGCAGAGCAGCUGCUUGGGGCGCCGUCGGUGGAGGGGAUGUCGACGGUGGAGGCCAAGAAGGCAAUGUCCAACGCAAAGCUCGCAGAACUGGCGCUUGUCGACCCAAAGAAGGCAAAAAGGAUUUGGGCUAAUAGACAAUCGGCGGCCAGAUCGAAAGAAAGGAAGAUGCGGUAUAUUUCUGAACUUGAACGGAAGGUGCAAACCCUGCAUGCAGAAGCAACAACAUUGUCAACCCAGCUGGCACUUCUACAUAGAGACACUGCUGGGCUCUCUACCGAGAACAGCGAACUGAAGAUGCGCCUGCAGAACGUGGAGCAACAAAUCCACUUACAAGAUGCUCUGAAUGACGCACUGAAAUCUGAGCUGCAAAGGCUGAAGAUGGCGACGAGCCACAUGGGCAACACCGUUGGGGGAAUGAUGAACUUGAUCGGCCCACCCCCGCCGCACUCUUUCGGAGGGAACCAGCCAAUGUUCCACAUUCAGGGCCAGGCUGCAAUGCAGCCAUUGCACCAGAUGCAGCAGAUUCACCCUCAGCACCAGCAGCCGUUGCUGCAUCCGCUGCAACUGCAAGCACAGCAGCUGCUGUUGCAGCAGCAGGCUUCUGCUGCACCACCACCCAACCCGAAGAUGAAACGGGCCAUCUCCGCUCCGAACCAGUGGAUUGGUGGGUGGUCCGAGAGCAGUGGCAACUGA